GACGAACGCUGGCGGCGUGCUUAACACAUGCAAGUCGAACGGAAAGGCCCUGCUUUUGUGGGGUGCUCGAGUGGCGAACGGGUGAGUAACACGUGAGUAACCUGCCCUUGACUUUGGGAUAACUUCAGGAAACUGGGGCUACUACCGGAUAGGAGCUCCUGCUGCAUGGUGGGGGUUGGAAAGUUUCGGCGGUUGGGGAUGGACUGGCGGCUUAUCAGCUUGUUGGUGGGGUAGUUGCUUACCAAGGCUUUGACGGGUAGCCGGCCUGAGAGGGUGACCGGCGACAAGGGGAGUGAGAUACGGCGCAGAAGGCUACGGGAGGCAGCAGGGGGGAAUAGUGCACAAUGGGAGGAAGCCUGAGGCAGCAACGACGGGUGCGGGAUGACGGCCUACGGGUGGUAAACCGCUUUCGCCUGUGACGAAGAGGGAGUGACGGUAAUGGGUAAAGAAGCACCGGCUAACUACGUG
rnacentral:rRNA from 1 species